rnacentral:rRNA from 1 species
GUAGCUGCGCAGCCUAUACUGGCAGUCGUCGCAGGGUAACGCGUAGCAAUACCCGCUGGCGACCGGCAAACGGGUGCGGAACACGUACGCAACCUUCCUUUAACUGGAGGAUAGCCCCUCGAAAGAGGGAUUAAUACUCCGUAACAUAAUGAUAAGGCAUCUUAUUAUUAUUAUAGCUCCGGCGGUUAAAGAUGGGCGUGCGACUGAUUAGAUAGUUGGCGGGGUAACGGCCCACCAAGUCUGCGAUCAGUAACUGGUGUGAGAGCACGACCAGUCACACGGGCACUGAGACACGGGCCCGACUCCUACGGGAGGCAGCAGUAAGGAAUAUUGGUCAAUGGACGCAAGUCUGAACCAGCCAUGCCGCGUGGAGGAUUAAGGCCCUCUGGGUUGUAAACUCCUUUUAUCUGGGAAGAACUCCACGUUUUCUAAUGUGGUUGACGGUACCAGAGGAAUAAGCACCGGCUAACUCCGUGCCAGCAGCCGCGGUAAUACGGAGGGUGCAAGCGUUAUCCGGAUUCACUGGGUUUAAAGGGUGCGUAGGCGGGCAGGAAAGUCCGUGGUGAAAUCUCUGAGCUUAACUCAUAAACUGCCAUGGAUACUAUUUGUCUUGAAUACUGUGGAGGUGAGCGGAAUAUGUCAUGUCACGGUGAAUGCUUA